UGGAGCAUGUGGUUUAAUUCGAAGCAACGCGCAGAACCUUACCAGCGUUUGACAUGUCCGGUUUGGUUUCCAGAGAUGGAUUCCUUCAGUUCGGCUGGCCGGAACACAGGUGCUGCAUGGCUGUCGUCAGCUCGUGUCGUGAGAUGUUGGGUUAAGUCCCGCAACGAGCGCAACCCUCAUCCCUAGUUGCCAUCAUUCAGUUGGGCACUCCAGGGAAACUGCCGGUGAUAAGCCGGAGGAAGGUGGGGAUGACGUCAAGUCCUCAUGGCCCUUACGCGCUGGGCUACACACGUGCUACAAUGGCGGUGACAGUGGGCAGCAAACUCGCGAGAGUGAGCUAAUCUCCAAAAGCCGUCUCAGUUCGGAUUGUUCUCUGCAACUCGAGAGCAUGAAGGCGGAAUCGCUAGUAAUCGCGGAUCAGCAUGCCG
rnacentral:rRNA from 1 species